rnacentral:rRNA from 1 species
GACGAACGCUGGCGGCGUGCCUAAUACAUGCAAGUCGAACGCUUCUUUCCUCCCGAGUGCUUGCACUCAAUUGGAAAGAGGAGUGGCGGACGGGUGAGUAACACGUGGGUAACCUACCCAUCAGAGGGGGAUAACACUUGGAAACAGGUGCUAAUACCGCAUAACAGUUUAUGCCGCAUGGCAUAAGAGUGAAAGGCGCUUUCGGGUGUCGCUGAUGGAUGGACCCGCGGUGCAUUAGCUAGUUGGUGAGGUAACGGCUCACCAAGGCCACGAUGCAUAGCCGACCUGAGAGGGUGAUCGGCCACACUGGGACUGAGACACGGCCCAGACUCCUACGGGAGGCCGCAGUAGGGAAUCUUCGGCAAUGGACGAAAGUCUGACCGAGCAACGCCGCGUGAGUGAAGAAGGUUUUCGGAUCGUAAAACUCUGUUGUUAGAGAAGAACAAGGACGUUAGUAACUGAACGUCCCCUGACGGUAUCUAACCAGAAAGCCACGGCUAACUACGUG